rnacentral:rRNA from 1 species
UACGUAGGGGGCUAGCGUUGUCCGGAAUCAUUGGGCGUAAAGAGCGUGUAGGCGGCUCGGUAAGUCCGCUGUGAAAGUCCAGGGCUCAACCCUGGAAUGCCAGUGGAAACUGUCGAGCUAGAGUCCGGAAGAGGCGAGUGGAAUUCCUGGUGUAGCGGUGAAAUGCGCAGAUAUCAGGAGGAACACCCAAUGGCGAAGGCAGCUCGCUGGGACGGUACUGACGCUGAGACGCGAAAGCGUGGGAGCAAACAGG